rnacentral:rRNA from 1 species
GACGUAGGGCGCGAGCGUUGUCCGGAUUUAUUGGGCGUAAAGAGCUCGUAGGCGGCUUGUCGCGUCGUCCGUGAAAACCUGCAGCUCAACUGCAGGCUUGCGGUCGAUACGGGCAGGCUAGAGUUCGGUAGGGGAGACUGGAAUUCCGGGUGUAGCGGUGGAAUGCGUAGAGAUCCGGAAGAACACCGGUGGCGAAGGCGGCCUGCUGGGCAGUUGCUGACACUGAGGCGCGACAGCGUGGGGAGCAAACAGG